AGGAUGUGUACUUGUUUGGUGGAGCCUUACCUCCUGGUGAACAGCGAUGUCCCUCACUGGGUGUCGUUGCAAACCAGGACGUUUACUUUGAAAAAAUUAGAGUGUUCAAAGCAGGCCUUUGCCCGAAUACAUUAGCAUGGAAUAAUAGAAUAGGACGCGCGUUCCCAUUUUGUUGGUUUCUGAGAUCGCCGUAAUGAUUAAUAGGGAUAGUUGGGGGCAUUUGUAUUCCGUCGUCAGAGGUGAAAUUCUUGGAUUGCCGGAAGACAAACUACUGCGAAAGCAUUUGCCAAGGAUGUUUUCAUUGAUCAAGAACGAAGGAAGGGGGAUCGAAAACGAUUAGAUACCGUUGUAGUCUCUUCUGUAAACUAUGCCAAUUGGGGAUCGGCACAGGUUUUUUAGUGACUGUGUCGGCACCCGAAGAGAAAUCUUUAAAUGAGGUUCGGGGGGGAGCAUGGUCGCAAGGCUGAAACUUAAAGGAAUAGACGGAAGGGCACCACCAGGUGUGGAGCCUGCGG
rnacentral:rRNA from 1 species